rnacentral:misc_RNA from 1 species
AAACGGAUAUCCGUGGAGGGAAGGCUGAAGGAUGUGGAUGGACCCAACUUUGCCAGUCGGAUUGUUGAGGAAUCGUUAGGUAAUGGUGGCUUUACAAGGCCAUAUCAGAGCAUCGCAUCUCAGGUUCUGUAUGGAAAAUGGAAUGAUUUACCAAAGAAAGUCCAGCAUUAUGUGCAAGACAACGUCAAGUUGUGUAAACCAGACACGAUCCACAUCUGCGAUGGGUCGGACAGAGAGAAUGAAAUGUUGUUGUACAUUUUGCAGAGAGAUGGCAUGAUCAAACCUCUGCCAAAGAUGGACAACUGGUGAGAAUGCUUGCCUAAAUGCUGGUUGGCUAGAACUGAUCCAAAGGAUGUGGCCCGAGUAGAGAGUCGAACCUUCAUCUCCACGGAAAACAUGCGGGAUACCAUUCCUGUGGUCAAGAAUGGCAUCACUGGCACCUUGGGAAACUGGAUGUCCCCCGAUGACCUUGACACAGAGCUCAACAUGCGGUUCCCAGGCUGUAUGAAGGGCAGGACUAUGUUUGUGAUCCCAUUCAGUAUGGGACCAGUGGGGUCAGCUCUCUCUAAGAUUGGCAUCGAGCUCACGGAUUCAGCGUAUGUGGCGGCAAGCAUGAGGAUCAUGACAAGGGUCGGAAAGAAAGUGUUAAAAACCCUUGGAAAUGGAGACUUUGUCAAGUGUCUGCAUUCUGUGGGAGCACCAUAUCCUCUGAAAGAGCCCAUGGUCAGUAACUGGCCCUGCAAUCCUAAGGAAACCAUCAUUGCACAUUUACCGGAGAGGAACGAGAUCUGCUCCUAUGGAAGCGGAUACGGGGGUAACUCACUACUGGGCAAAAAAUGCUUCGCCCUCCGACUUGGUUCAAUACUUGGUAGGAGAGAGGGCUGGCUUGCAGAACAUAUGCUGAUCUUGGGAAUUGAAAACUCCAAAGGAGAGAAGAAGUACUUUGCAGCUGCUUUCCCAAGUGCAUGUGGAAAAACCAAUUUGGCAAUGAUGAAAUCUGCUUUACCAGACUACAAAAUUACCUGUGUUGGUGAUGAUAUUGCUUGGAUGAGGUUCGAUAAGGAUGGAAAACUCAGGGCCAUAAACCCAGAAGCUGGAUUCUUUGGAGUGGCUCCAGGAACCUCAAUGAAGACCAAUCCUAUGGCCAUGGAAACUAUUUCCAGAAACACUAUCUUCACCAACGUCGCCGAGACCUCAGACGGUGGUGUUUUCUGGGAGGGGCUGGAGGGAGAAGUCUCCAGAACGACCAAGAUAAAGUCCUGGCUGGGAGUGGAGGACUGGCAUGCAGAACAGGGCAAACCCGCCGCCCACCCCAACUCAAGGUCAGUCCACUUCUGCGCAUAAAAUAUCUCCGUUAUUUUGUACAACAGUGACUUGUAUGGCUUGGAGUGAUGUUGGAUUUAAUGUCUUCGUUUUCCCCCAACAGGUUCUGUACACCAGCAGCCCAGUGCCCUAUUAUGGACGAGAGAUGGCAGGAUCCAGAGGGUGUUCCCAUUGAGGCUAUCAUCUUUGGUGGCCGCAGACCUGAAGGCGUUCCUCUGGUGUAUGAAGCCUUUAACUGGCAGCAUGGUGUAUAUAUUGGAGCCUCUAUGAGGUCUGAAGCAACUGCAGCAGCUGAGCACAAAAGCAAAGUUAUCAUGCAUGAUCCAUUUGCAAUGCGUCCAUUCUUUGGAUACAACUUUGGGCAUUAUUUGGAACACUGGUUAAGCUUUCAACAGAAACAAGAUCUGGAUCUUCCUAAGAUCUACCAUGUCAACUGGUUCAGAAAGGACAAAAACGGCCGCUUCAUGUGGCCAGGAUUUGGGGAGAACUCCCGGGUCUUGGACUGGAUAUUCCGACGUGUUAAUGGAGAAGACUGUGCUGUCCAGUCAGCCAUCGGAAAUCUUCCCAGGAAAGGAUCGCUGAAUCUGGAAGGUCUGCAGGAGGAUGUUGAUAUGGAUGCCUUGUUCAGUAUUCCCAAAGAGUACUGGCAGAAGGAGGUCAAGGACAUUGGCAAAUACUUUGAUGAGCAGGUUCAUGAAGAUCUCCCUCCAGAAAUAAUGAAAGAACUGAGAAGCCUGGAGGCUCGCGUCAACUCCAUGUAAACAGCAGUCUCUUCCGUUACUCCGAUAUGUAGACUGCUCGGAAACAUGCUGACACUCCGUGUGACAUUUUAUGUUUCUGCAUUUGUACUUACUUUGUAUUUCAGAUUUUUAGUCACAUCUCAUUAUUUUAUAUUAUGUACAAGCGAGGGAGUUUUCAUUAUUUAAACAUUUUUAUUUUUUUCUUACAUGCUUUAGAUUUGGUGAUAAUAUAAUUUUAUGUAUUACAGACUAUGUAUUUAAGAGAGAGAGAGGUGUUUACGACUACUGCGGUGCAAUAAAACCCGGAAUUUUUAAUGUGACUCGUGUAUGCAUCAUGUGGUUCAUGUAUUUGAUCUCAGGAGUUCUGUCCCCUUGGUUGUGUUUGAUGCCAUCAUUUUGGACACAAAAGCUUCUUAAUGGUGGCAAGAACGUAGCAAAACUCACCCCAUAAUAUAAACCAUUCCAUGCUCAUCUGACAACCAAAGACUUCUUAUUGUGUGAAUGAUUUGAACAGAGUAUUUUGAUGUUUAAAGAUUUGAUUACAUAUUUCUGUGAUAACACUUCUGUAAUUUGUAAUAUUGUAAUGUCUGUUACUGGUAUGAGUCUCACUGCCUUUGGCAUAAUACAUGUAUUUGUGCAUAUUCUUGUCAAACAGCUGAUGCACUGUAUAUUACAGGCAAUAUUUUGAUGGGCUAGAUUGUCCAAGAUAGGGGAUAUACCUCUUAAAGGAAUAUAAAUUUUUUAUGCAAAAA